UACAGGGGGUGCAAACGUUGCUCGGAAUCAUUGGGCGUAAAGCGCACGUAGGCGGUUCGUUAUGUCGGAUGUGAAAGCCCUUCGGCUUAACCGAGGAAGUGCAUCCGAAACUGGCGAGCUAGAGUACUAAAGAGGAGUCGCGGAAUUCCCGGUGUAGAGGUGAAAUUCGUAGAUAUCGGGAGGAACACCGGUGGCGAAGGCGGCGAUCUGGGUAGAUACUGACGCUGAGGUGCGAAAGCGUGGGGGAGCAAACAGGG
rnacentral:rRNA from 1 species